CACCGCCUGGGGAGUACGACCGCAAGGUUAAAACUCAAAUGAAUUGACGGGGACCCGCACAAGUAGUGGAGCAUGUGGUUUAAUUCGAAGAUACGCGCAGAACCUUACCAACACUUGACAUGUUCGUCGCGACUUUAAGAGAUUAAAGUUUUCGGUUCGGCCGGACGAAACACAGGUGCUGCAUGGCUGUCGUCAGCUCGUGUCGUGAGAUGUUGGGUUAAGUCCCGCAACGAGCGCAACCCUCACUUUUAGUUGCCAUCAUUUAGUUGGGCACUCUGAAAGAACUGCCAGUGAUAAGCUGGAGGAAGGUGGGGAUGACGUCAAGUCCUCAUGGCCCUUACGUGUUGGGCUACACACGUGCUACAAUGGUAUCUACAACAGGAAGCAAGACGGCGACGUUAAGCAAAUCCUUAAAAGAUACCUCAGUUCGGAUUGCACUCUGCAACUCGAGUGCAUGAAGCUGGAAUUACUAGUAAUCGUGGAUCAGCGUGCCACGGUGAAUGCGUCCCGGGUCUUGUACACACCGCCCGUCACACCAUGGGAGUUGGUUCUACCUUAAGGCAAGGUUUAAAACCCUUGACCACGGUAUAGUCAGCGACUGGGGUGAAGUCGUAACAAGGUAGCCGUAGGGGAACCUGCGGCUGGAUUACCUCCUUUCUAAGGAUGAGUGAAAGUAAAUUUCAUUCUAAAUAAUACACAGGCAAUGUUGACCGUCCUCAUUUCUCUUCUUAAAAGUGUUUCUCUUGCAUGGGGGCCGGUAGCUCAGUUGGUUAGAGCACACCCUUGAUAAGGGUGGGGUCGAAAGUUCGAGUCUUUCUCGGCCCACCAAAUUUAGAUCUUGGGGGAUUAGCUCAGCUGGGAGAGCGCCUGAUUUGCAUUCAGGAGGUCAGCGGUUCGAUCCCGCUAUCCUCCACCAAACACUUAGUUAUUUUAAAUUGUGAAUAAAUUAAUAAUUAAUAAUCAAUAUCUAUAUCCGAACAUUAGUAAUGUAUUAGCUAAUGUUCAAACAAAAAUUUGAUUCACACAAGAAUUUUUUCUG
rnacentral:sRNA from 1 species